AGAGGCUGAUUGAAGCUGAGCUCAAUUAGAAGGAAAUGAGAGCAAAGAAGGAGAGGAGGAGGAAGGUUUGGAUGCAGAAAUUAGUCUCCAGAUCAGAGAAGUUUGCUGCAGAGAAUCAGUAAGAUGUGGUUCAGUGAAGUCCUGGCUGAUGUUUGCCUGCAGCUCAGGACUCAGCGGUGAUUUCUAGUGAAUCCUGGGAGGAAGAGGAGCAGCGAAGAUCAUAGCUGGGAAGGAAACUCUCCUGCCGCUGAGUAGGAGCUCUAUGUGGAUCAAGAGUUGAAGAAGGAGCACCUGAGACUAGUGAAAUUAGCGGCAUCAGAAUCUACAGCAGCGAAACCUUCUCACUGAACAUCGGCCAGCUGGCUCCUCCUGAUCCUACAGAGGAAUCAGAUGGAGGUCAGUCAGCAUCAAACUUCUUGUAACUCAGUAAACGAGCAGAGAAAGUGGAAGCUGCCUACAUGUCCAGGGCAUCUGUUCACUUCAUUCAUCUCCAGUGACACAAAGAAAC
ensembl:lncRNA